rnacentral:rRNA from 1 species
UAUUGGUCAAUGGGCGGAAGCCUGAACCAGCCAUGCCGCGUGCAGGAUGACUGCCCUAUGGGUUGUAAACUGCUUUUGUCCAGGAAUAAACCUUUCUACGUGUAGGGAGCUGAAUGUACUGGAAGAAUAAGGAUCGGCUAACUCCGUGCCAGCAGCCGCGGUAAUACGGAGGAUCCGAGCGUUAUCCGGAUUUAUUGGGUUUAAAGGGUGCGUAGGCGGCCUGUUAAGUCAGGGGUGAAAUACGGUGGCUCAACCAUCGCAGUGCCUUUGAUACUGACGUGCUUGAAUCCAUAUGAAGUGGGCGGAAUAAGACAAGUAGCGGUGAAAUGCAUAGAUAUGUCUUAGAACUCCGAUUGCGAAGGCAGCUCACUAAGCUGGUAUUGACGCUGAUGCACGAAAGCGUGGGGAGCAAACAGG